CCCUUAGAUGUCCUGGGCCGCACGCGCGCUACACUGAUGCAUGCAACGAGUUUAUAACCUUGGCCUGAAAGGUCUGGGUAAUCUUUUGAACGUGCAUCGUGAUAGGGAUAGAUUAUUGCAAUUGUUAAUCUUGAACGAGGAAUUCCUAGUAAACGCGAGUCAUCAGCUCGCAUUGAUUACGUCCCUGCCCUUUGUACACACCGCCCGUCGCACCUACCGAUUGGGUGUGCUGGUGAAAUGUUCGGAUCGGCCGUUUGUCGCGGUUUCCGCGGCUCGUGGCUGAGAAGUUCAUUAAACCCUCCCACCUAGAGGAAGGAGAAGUCGUAACA
rnacentral:rRNA from 1 species